UAGCCUACGGGGGGCAGCAGUGAGGAAUAUUGGUCAAUGGGCGGGAGCCUGAACCAGCCAAGUCGCGUGAGGGAAGACGGUCCUAUGGAUUGUAAACCUCUUUAGGCGGGGAGCAAUGCCGGGCACGCGUGCCCGGAGGGAGAGUACCCGCAGAAUAAGCAUCGGCUAACUCCGUGCCAGCCGCCGCGGUAAUACGGAGGAUGCGGGCGUUAUCCGGUUUUAUUGGGUUUAAAGGGUGCGUAGGCGGAUUUUUACGUCAGCGGUAAAAUGUCCGGGCUCAACGCGGGCGGGC
rnacentral:rRNA from 1 species